AUCGGUCAGUUUUUUUUAAUUUCCAGCAAAGUAUAUAAACAAAGUAAAUUAGUUUACCUUACCACACAUACUUCGACGGAGACAAUUGAAGGAACUGUCUUUAGUUUGUAAGUGUCUGUUGAUUUUCAUAUUAUUCUUACAAGGCUUUAAAUAGAUCUGCAAUGCUUCAACAACUUAGCAAGAUUAUGAAAAAUGUCGUAUAUUGUUCUGAUAUUUUUGUUUACUAGCUUACACAACUUUGAAUAAUUUUAAUACUAAGGUUUUUUUUCUAUCUCAGGAGUAGAUUACAUCAGCUGUUUUUUGAAACACCUUAGGAUUUUUUUUAUAAAUAUUUAAAUACAUGAAAAUAAACUAUAUAAUUAUGUAUUUAAUGAUACGGUAGGUCACUGAUUCUCUGAAGAUAUAUACUGUUACAAAAAUAGAAGAGUGUGUACUAGAGAUAAUAUUGAGAUGUUUGGAUUGCUUAAGGACUGUUCUUAUUUAUCUCUGAAGAUUUAUGUUGUUACAAGAAAAGUUGUAUUGAGAUAUGGAUUGGUUGGACUCGUUUUUGUAUUUAAACAUACAUGGAUAUUUGGAAUAUUUUUGACUCCUAGUAAUCCUCACAUAUCUUUUUGUUAGUAAAUCCUCACAUAUCUUUUUGUCUAUCUUCUUACAUUAAAUAACUGGGCCUAAUUUUCAAUUAAUGUCGUAGGAUUAUUAAUAUAUUUUCUUUAUUGAUGUUUGACAAAAAUGUAGACAUUUUAUAUUUGAGAUCCAAAUUUAAUGGUUUAUCUCCCUAUACAUGGAACUAUUAAAGGAAAUUUCUACAUUCUACGGGCUUUUGUCAGAACUAUACUAGUAGGACAUUGGACGUUCAGUGAAAAAUAGUUCCAUUGUGUUUUUUUUUUCAGAUGUCACUACUAUAAAACAUUUGCUAUCAAAAUUAUCUUAGUACUAUGGAUUAGCAUUAUUUCAACUCAAUCGUUGGGUCAUAUUCAGCCAAUCAAGCACUAUUUUUUGCGCAUUGGUCGGGUUGGUUUAUCUUUGACAAAUUUCCCAUUUCAUUCCAAACUAUAUUACAGAAUUUGGAAUAACUCAGAAUUCAACAAAACUAUGGUAUAUCUUUAAUAUAAUAUUUGGAAAUGAUGUGUUAAAUAACAUUGUGUAUUGUAGUGUUUUAUACCAUGAAAAUGUACUUAAUUCGUUUUGUUUUAUUCAAAAACAAAUGAACGAAAAAUUUCUACAUAUCUUUUUUCUUAACCUUAGUUAAGGAUAUUGCACUUUUAAAAUAUACAAUUUUAUUACUUUAGAAAAGGAAAAAUGUGUAGUAUUAGAAAAAGAACAAUGUAUAGUAAAAGAAAAGGAACAAUGUGGAGUAUAAGAAAAAGAACAAUGUACGGUAUAAGAAAAGGAACAAUGUGCAGUAUUAGAAAAAGAACAUAUUACAUAAUUAUAACAUUCGCAUGAUGCAUUCAAUACAGGAAGUUUUGUAUUAAUAAAGUUCUAUCAGAAUUCGUUUUUUUAUAUAAUUUCCUACAGAAUAUAUUCGGAAAAAUCGUAUCCUACAUUAUUAUAUGUCAUCUAGGUGAGGAAAUCCUCUGCAAGAUGAAAAUAGGCAAGAUUCUGUGUGCGAUGUUCAUGAUGCUAAUGUCAGUUUUAGCAGGAGCAGCUAGUGGAGCCUACUAAUGGACGACUGGACAUCAACAGGUCUACCACCACUUCCAGGACUUGAAUUUCACAGAGAAAAACGAGAUGCUAAUGCCAACAAUCUAGAUAGAAUGGUAAGGUUUCCAGUAAUUACGUAAAGAACAAUUAUUCCUUAUAUUAAGUUUUAAAAUAACAACAACAACAACUACUACUACUACUAUAACUACUACAACUACUACUUUUAUUACAACAACAAAAACAACCACUAAUACAUCAACAACAACAACAUAAUAAUAAUAAUAAUAAUAACAAUAAUAAUAAUAAUAAUAAUAAUAAUAAUAAUAAUAAUAAUGAUAAUAAUAAUAAUAAUAAUAAUAAUAAUAGUUAAAAUAAUGAUAAUAAUAUUAUGAUAAUGAUAAUAAUAAUGAUAAAAUAAUAAUGAUAAUAAUAACAACACAAUCAAUAAUAAUCGUUUUUUUUUCAGUUAAAAAGAGGCUAGUUGGUCUGUGGCACAACAAACUGGAUCUUUCAUCAUUAAAUAAAAGAAGUUGAACUAAAUUUUAUUUAUCGUUGAUCUAUAUAUAUUGUUUUGUUAUUUCAUCUUAACAUUCUAUUGGCCAUAUGUUCCUUGAAAAAAAUGAUUGUAAAUUGAUUUGCUGCAACUCAUAUAUCAAACAAAAACGGGUGCCACAUGUGGAGCAGGAUUUGCUUGGCCUUACGGAGCACCUGAGAUUAACCCCAGUUCUUGCUGAGGUGCGUGUUGCUCUGUAUUUAGUUUUCUUUGGGUUUUUUUUUUUUUGUAAUGUUGUUUUACGUUUGUCUGUUGGUCUAUUUCUUUUGUAGCCAUUGCGUUGUAAGUUGAUUUUCGAUUUAUAAGUAAUUAUAAAGGAGAAAUCCAUCACAUAUAACAUCUGCAGUGGACGCUGCCCUGUUGGAAUAUCUACAAAGACAAAAACAGUAGCAGUCAUAAUACAAAUAAAUGAAUUAUUAUUAUUAUUAUUAUUAUUAUUAUCAUUAUCAUUAUCAUUAUCAUUAUUAUUAUUAUCAUUAUUAUGUUGUUGUUGUUGAUGUAUUAGUAGUUGUUGUUGUUGUUGCAAUAAAAGUAGUAGUUGUAGUAGUUAUAGUAGUAGUAGUAGUAGUAGUUGUUUUUGUUAUUUUAAAACUUAAUAUAAGGAAUAAUUGUUCUUUACGUAAUUACUGGAAACCUUACCAUUCUAUCUAUAUUGUUGGCAUUAGCAUCUCGUUUUCCUCUGUGGAAUUCAAGUCCUGGUGGUGGUAGACCUGGUUGAUGUCCACUAGCUGCUCCUGCUAAAACUGACAUUAGCAUCAUGAACAUCGCACACAGAAUCUUGCCUAUUUUCAUCUUGCAGAGGAUUUCCUCACCUAGAUGACAUAUAAUAAUGUAGGAUACGAUUUUU
rnacentral:lncRNA from 1 species